UGGGGAAUUUUGGACAAUGGGCGAAAGCCUGAUCCAGCAAUGCCGCGUGUGUGAAGAAGGCCUUCGGGUUGUAAAGCACUUUUGUCCGGAAAGAAAUCCUUGGCUCUAAUACAGUCGGGGGAUGACGGUACCGGAAGAAUAAGCACCGGCUAACUACGUGCCAGCAGCCGCGGUAAUACGUAGGGUGCAAGGCGUUAAUCGGAAUUACUGGGCGUAAAGGCGUGCGCAGGCGGUUUGCUAAGACCGAUGUGAAAUCCCCGGGCUCAACCUGGGAACUGCAUUGGUGACUGGCAGGCUAGAGUAUGGCAGAGGGGGGUAGAAUUCCACGUGUAGCAGUGAAAUGCGUAGAGAUGUGGAGGAAUACCGAUGGCGAAGGCAGCCCCCUGGGCCAAUACUGACGCUCAUGCACGAAAAGCGUGGGGGAGCAAACAGGAUUAGAUACCCUGGUAGUCCA
rnacentral:rRNA from 1 species